rnacentral:tRNA from 1 species
ACUUGGGUGGCUCAGUUGGUUAAGCGUCUGACUUCAGCUCAGGUGAUGAUCUCACGGUUCGUGGGUUCGAGCCCCACGUCGGGCU